rnacentral:rRNA from 1 species
CAGUAGCCGCGGGAAUACGAGGGGUGCAAGCGUUAUUCGGAAUGAUUGGGUGUAAAGGGUGUGCAGACGGCUUAUUAAGUCACUUGUUAAAUUCUUCGGCCUAACUGAAGGUCUGCAAGUGAUACUGAUGAGCUAGAGUGAGGAAGAGGGUCGUGGAAUUCCAAGUGUAGAGGUGAAAUUCGUAGAUAUUGGGAAGAACACCGGUGGCGAAGGCGGCGACCUGGUCCUUUACUGACGCUGAGGCGCGAAAGCGUGGGGAGCAAACAGGAUUAGAUACCCCCGUAGUCCCUGUCUCUUAUAC